UCCCUUGUGGCUCAGUUGGUAGAGCAUGGUGUUUGCAACGUCAGGGUUGUGGGUUUGAUUCCCACGGGGGAC
rfam:Salmo salar isolate Sally breed double haploid chromosome ssa15, whole genome shotgun sequence.